AUCAACCGGAAGCGGAAGACGUGCACGUGGAUGUAAACAAGUGUAAAAAGAGAAAAGGUACGAUACGCGGAUACGCUGUUUAUUUAGAACGUGUCCAUCAGCUAUGUCAUUCUGAUGUACCCAACUCCUUUGUACUCCCAUGCUGGUCAUGGGCCUUUCUCAGAGGUAUAUGAACCAGCAGAAGAUUCUUUCCUUUUGAUUGAUACCUUGGAGAAGGAUGCUGAUUUGUUGCUGCGAAGCAAACCUGUUGUCUGCCUUGAGGUUGGCAGUGGCUCAGGUGUGGUCUCUGCUUUUUUGGCAUCAGUAACUGGAGCUGGAGCAUUAUAUCUCUGCACUGACUUGAACCCGGCAGCAGCUCAAUGCACAGCAGAGACAUCUCGCUGCAAUAACCUGGACCUGCAGCCGGUUAUAACCGACUUGACUGAGUGUCUGCUGCCAAGAUUGAAUGGAAUGGUGGAUGUUCUUCUUUUCAACCCACCAUAUGUGGUUACCCCAUCUGAGGAGGUGGGCAGUCAUGGCAUUGAGGCUUCCUGGGCAGGAGGAAAGAGAGGCAGGGAGGUGAUGGACAGAUUCUUCCCCAUGGUUUUGCAGUUAUUAUCCAAGCAGGGCCUGUUCUACCUUGUUACGGUGUCCGAUAACAAUCCAGAAGAGAUUCUGUCUCUGCUUGGUGAAUCCGGCUUAAGAGGAGAGGUGUGUCUGUCUCGUCAGGCGGGGAGAGAAAAGUUGUUCAUCCUGCGCUUCAGCAAGAGUAACAUCACAGGACUAUGAUGUGCCCAUCUUCCCCAAGUCUCACUGUUCCACUCGCUACAAGCUCUAAAGCAGUGGGGAAGGCCUGAUGCUCCGCCUCCCGGAUGCGCUCUGAUGGAUUGUCCUCGGUGUCCGUCAGAAUGGGACCAGCUUCCUGUAUGAUGAUGGCACCUGCGUCCACCCCCUCCUGUUAUUGUGUUACAAGAUACCAGAUGAAAUAAUAAGGUUAAGCUUAGUUUUGAUGGCAGAGAAAAGGUAAUCCAAAUCAGGGAUUUGGCUGUGGGAGAGAACUCCCCAAAAAUUACUUCACUGUAUGUUAUUUUCUGUUGCUGUCAAACAUUCUUUCAGAGAACAUUUUUAUUCCUAAAUUCUUAAGUGACCGUGGACUUCAUGUUAACAAAAGCUGUGGAAGAAGCCAACUUACAGCCACAAAGUGCAUAGUGCAUCCUGUUAUCCGAAUCCCAGCCAGCUGUGCUUGCUUUUGUGCAUUCAUACCUUUGUAGGAAGACAGCAGUGAUGGAUAGAUAUUCAGCACCUUGCCUGUGCUGGCUCAAAUUUAGCCUAUUACCCAAAAACACUUAAAAUUCAACAUAGAAGCAAAUACUCACAUCUGUGAACCCAGUUGGAGAUAGAAAAAAAGACACCAGCCGUGAGUGAGAAGAAGCAAGGGUCCAGAUUUAUUGGUUCCGUUCCACCACACGAGAUCCACACCGAUGAGAAUUCUCAGAAGUGAUCUGACACCCGGAGCUCAAGCUCCAGUAUUUACACAGUAGAUAACCAAUAUAUUUCAGAAAGACUAUGAUAUCAAUACCAAUAGGGUUAAAAAAAGAGCUCAUCUACAUUACCAUGAUGUUUUGAAAGAGGACUUUCUGGAUACCAUUAGGAUCGAAAGUGGGAGAGAGACAAAACAAUUUAGAGAGACCGUGGUCUCACUCUUAUCUCACCGGGGCAGCUUGACUCAGCUACCCUUAUAAAUGGCUCCUCAUGGUUUUCUCUUAAAAUUAAGGCCUUCCUUGCGAGACAGGAAUCUUCACCAUCUGAAUUAUGAGUGCCCGUCGUCAUUUUUUCUUCUCUCUUUUACUGGAGGGGCUGGAUUUGGAUCUGAACACUCACUAUCAGCUCGCGCAUCUCACUGCUGACAUCAUGGUGCUACUUAACGUUCUUCGUAGCACCCCCUCUGGAAAUGGAAAUGCGCCCCCCCAGAUACAGAAUCCAGCCCGUGAAUGUGUGUAUUGACGCCUCUACACAGACAGACCCUCCGCCUGACCCUCCCUCCAGCUUUCAGUCUGAGGAUGAUGUCACCUUCUCUGAUCUGGGCUCUGACCAUCCUUCCCUCUUCUCACCUGUCAGUCCGCCGUACUCUCAGUGGUCUCCUUAUUUCACCUUUGCUGCCUAUCCCAUGUCCCCAGGACACACCCCAUUUUCCUCCCCCUACCGCUCUCCUCAAGAUUACGCACCCACCAGUCCUGUGAAUUUUCAAUAAAAUUACAUAUUACUCAUA